rnacentral:lncRNA from 1 species
GGUGAACUCAUUAAUUCGAAGUCUUUCUGAUUUAAAAAUUAAUAUUCGCGGGGAUUAUAGACGUCGACUACUAAGGCAACUAACGUCUAUAUACGAUUAUAGACGUCAGUGAGGAGGCAUCUGACGUCUACAUGACGAAAAGGAAUGACUUUUCACCUGCCUAGCAAACAUAUAGACGUCGGCUAUCGCUUACCUGACGUUUAUAGGUCUGACAGGCUGGUGAAUAGCCAUUAAUGUCCACCAUAUAAACGUUUGUUAGGAUAAUCCCGAUGUCUAUAUGACAGAAAGGAAUGACUUUUCAACUGCCCGUAGACAUAUACAUGUCGGGGCUGCCAUAAAUGACGUUUAUAUGUCUAACAGGUUGGUGAACAACCAUUAAUUUCUGCCAUAUAGACGUCGGUGCCCUGACCAACAGACGUCUAUAUGUCUGAAAGAAAUGACUUUGCAUCCACCUGUCAGACAUAUAGACGUCGAUUAGGACAGUCCUGACGUAUAAAAGACUAUAGACGUCGGGGCCCUUUCAAAC